GGGGUGUAAGUAAAUGGCCGAGGCUCUUCCCCUGUGAAAACGAAAGCCGCCUGAAGGAGACACUCACGGGAACGGAAGGGCAGUCAAGGCUCCCGCAGCAAAACCGGUCAGUAAUGGAGCUAGUGGAGUCAACCCCCCGCCUCCAAAAAAAAAAAAAAAAAAAAAAAGGCAGACAAGGAUGGAUUCCAAGCUGAUGUAGCUAAGUAACUGCCCUGCACUGCAUAAAUGACCCUGUCCAUCACGCUCACUACGUCAACAUUUUCUCAAACAUAGGAGCACAUGAGAAAGGACAGCAAGUCUACCAAGAUUUAUCUCCCCUAAAGAAAACCCAAUCUGCUUUAACGUGACCACCACACAAGCCGAAGAGAUGACAGUUCCCAGUAAAACCCAAACCCGCUGGUGUGGCGUGUGGACACUACGACGCCGAAGCUUUGGGUUCUGAAGUUCGCAAAUCGUGCUAAAGAGAGCAUUCAACAUACCGGGAGAAAGCUUAGCUCCCGGGGACGUGGCACGCCAACGCUAGCGGCAGCGAGUGGGAGGGAAAAGGGGCAGGAAAGAAGAUAUGUGAAUUUUGAAAUUCAAAGAUAGCAGGGGGGGUUAAAGUAAACUUAACCUAGCAACACCCUACUAAAAGAUGAAACACCUUUCGCCCAUACAAGAAUACUGUGAAAUUUUGAAAACUGUUUUUAUUUUAAGCAUUCUGGAAGGCCGGUAUUCAGUAACAGAAAAUAGAGGCAUUCAGAUUUCUCUCGCAAUAAAUAGAAGGAGGAAGAAAAUACUUAUUUUUGAGUGACAUUUUCUUGAAAUCAGACUAACUUUGCUGCUGCUACUGGUACACCCGGUAAGUCUGAAGCUGCGGUUAUGGCCAGCGUGAAUUACCUUCCCCCUCCCCAUCACAUUUUGUGUAAUGUUCUGCUGGUAGAAGAGCAGCACAUUUCCAACCAAGGAGAGGAAAAAUCACACACGUACAUAAGAAAUGCAUGAAAAAAGUGCAGCCGGUAAAUUUUGCCAGUGGUACAACGUUAAUUUAGAAAUACAUACAUCUUUACCUGCUUACACGUAUAUGCAGCAUUUAAGUGGAGAGCGGGGACGCAUCGGCAGUUUAGACCACGGUGGAGUGUCAGCAUGACUGCAGUCAGCUAUGGGCUCUUCAGCUGAUGCACAACAAAAAGGGUGCAGGGAAACAUGAGGAAGAGGAGUUGAAUGAAUAAAUGGGUUAUUCCUCACAUUUAAAAUCCUUGUUGGCCAACUGAAGUCCUUCCAUGGUGGAAUCAAAGCGAGAAGUUUCUGAAAUAAAAAAAAGAAGAGAUUCUGCUGAAAUGCCACAACAGCACAGACUGCAGAAAGACUAACGGUUGCAAAUCCCACCCUCAGACUGAGAAAAGUUCACCCAUCUGAUAUUUUUAAAAGUCUCUUUCUUUCUCCUA